CAAGUUAAUAAACUAAAACUUUCAACAACGGAUCUCUUGGUUCUGGCAUCGAUGAAGAACGCAGCGAAAUGCGAUAAGUAAUGUGAAUUGCAGAAUUCAGUGAAUCAUCGAAUCUUUGAACGCACAUUGCGCCCCUUGGUAUUCCGGGGGGCAUGCCU
rnacentral:rRNA from 2 species